GAGUUUGAUCCUGGCUCAGGACGAACGCUGGCGGCGUGCUUAACACAUGCAAGUCGAACGGUGAUCUUGGGGGCUUGCUCCUGGGUGAUCAGUGGCGAACGGGUGAGUAACACGUGAGUAACCUGCCCUUCACUCUGGGAUAACGCUGGGAAACCGGUGCUAAUACUGGAUAUGACCUACUCGGGCAUCCGAUGUGGGUGGAAAGAUUUAUUGGUGGGGGAUGGACUCGCGGCCUAUCAGCUUGUUGGUGAGGUAAUGGCUCACCAAGGCGACGACGGGUAGCCGGCCUGAGAGGGCGAUCGGCCACACUGGGACUGAGACACGGCCCAGACUCCUACGGGAGGCAGCAGUGGGGAAUAUUGCACAAUGGGCGAAAGCCUGAUGCAGCGACGCCGCGUGAGGGAUGAAGGCCUUCGGGUUGUAAACCUCUUUCAGCAGGGAAGAAGCGUCUGGGUUUUCUCAGGUGUGACGGUACCUGCAGAAGAAGCACCGGCUAACUACGUGCCAGCAGCCGCGGUAAUACGUAGGGUGCAAGCGUUGUCCGGAAUUAUUGGGCGUAAAGAGCUUGUAGGCGGUUUGUCGCGUCUGCUGUGAAAUUUCGGGGCUCAACCCCGA
rnacentral:rRNA from 1 species